UCGAAGCGGGGGCGGGGCCCGGCGCGAGCCACCGGUGCCGCCCCCCGGGCCCGGCGCCGUCGGAGUGUCUUACGGGUGUUCGUGCCCCCUGCAACAGUCUUCGGCCCUUAGAUUUUCUUUUUUGCUUGUGGUUAUUGCGAAAUAAUUACUGUCCCCAAUAAGAUCUUGUCCUCAUUAGCUCCGCUGUGAGUUCAGUCAAAUAGCCCAGAGGCCGUGGAGCGGCCUCGCUCACACCGUAAUAACGGGGGAACAGCUUGGCUUGCAGCUUUGCCUUAUUACCUGAUUACACAGGAAGAAGGAUCGCACUGAACACAAAUUAAAUUUGCAUCUUGGCUCUGAUCUGCGCUGUAACCACUGACCAGCAAUGAGCAGGAGUAGGAAAUUUAGUGGAAUAACGUUCUGCUGAUAUUCGAAGUAGUUGGAUUUUACCAAAACCAAUGGAGUUGCCUGUCUGUAAAUAAAAGAAUUAGCACUUUUUGUCUUUUAUCCAUUUUGAUCAAUUUUUAAGGUUGGAUAUGAAGGAUGAGAAGCCAAAUGACAAUACAGGUCCAUGCAGAACAUUCCUUAUGGCUGACAAGCCAUCACCAAAACCCACCUCUGGGAGCUUGCCAAGAAAGGAUCCAAACAUUGCUGUGUGAUUGCAUCCACUGCUGCCAGAAUCUGCAGCUGAAUCAAACUUUUUGUAUCUGCUGACAGGCCUAAAAGAAUCCAUGCUGACACUAGAGCACAUCUAUUAACCUCUUCCUAGGUCAAUUAAA